rnacentral:lncRNA from 1 species
UCUGCCUAUAGAGGCCUGGGGUCCCUUUGGCAGCACUUUUCUCAAGAAAGUAGAGUCGUGGACAACCAACUGCACAGGUUGGGAGGCUUUGAAGAACAAGCUGCCAUGAAUCCUGCAGCUACAAGGAAAUGAACUCUAUUAACUUGAGUGAGCUUAAAACUAGAUCCUUCCCCAGUCAAGCCUCCAGGUGAGAAUUCAAUCCUGGCUGGCACCUGGAUUGCAGCUUACAGAAGACCCAGCUAAGGCCAUGUCUGGACUUUAAAUCCACAGGAACUGCAAGAUGGUAUCAGAAGUGGGACCUGCAGUGGGGCAUCUAGCAACCCCCAGGAGCAUUGAGUGACCAGGCUUGGGACCCACCGGGCGCAGGGUGUCCAUUGUUCUCUCGAAGCAACUGAGAAUUGUGGGACCCAUGAAGGAGCAUCAAGCUCAGCCUCAGAUAUUCUUCAUUAUUCCAUCAUCAUCUCAAACCUCUUGGGUAUAGUGUUUGACUACUACUGUGACCAUAAAUUCCAAUAAAACCUAGGAAAAAUGAAACCACUACAUUAACUGAAAGGGAAGGAUUUGACAGCUUCUUUUGGGCAUAUCAGAAUCGCCAGCAUCACUACUCUUGCACUGUGCGGCCAUUAUUAAGUGAAAUAAGGAUUACUUGAACACAAGCACUGCAAUGCCGCUACAGUCAAUGUGAUAACCCAGCUGGUGACUAAGUGACCAAGGACGGGGAGUAUCUACAGCGGGGAGACUCUGGAAAAAGGGAGGAUUCACAUCCAGUGCCACUGGGGCAGGGCAGAAUGAGAGUUCAUCAUGCUACAAAGAAUGGCACAGAAUAUACGACUUGUGAGUGGAUUAUCUCUGGAAUUUUCUGUUGACUACAUUUGUACUACAGUUGUAUGUGGGUAACAAACUGUGGAAAGUGAAACUUCGGGUAAGGGGGAGGCUACCGUAGAUAGCCCAGUAUUUCUUAUUUUGUGGAUUUGUUUAUCUUUCUGCUCACAUCCUUUUCCUUCUGCAUUACCAUUUUAGUAAAAAUAGAUAGCAUCCA